rnacentral:rRNA from 1 species
GACCGUGCAAAGGUAGCAUAAUCAUUUGCCUUAUAAUUGAAGGCUAGUAUGAAUGGUUUGACGAGAAUUAAGCUGUCUCUUUUUAACUAAAUAUAACUUUAUUAAGAGGUGAAGAAGCCUGUAUUUUAUUGAAAGACAAGAAGACCCUAUCGAGCUUUAAAGAAUUUAGUAGAUUUACCAUAUAUUAAUAAAAAAGUAAAGCAACUAAAUAUUUUGGUUGGGGCGACUGAGGAACAAACAAAGCUUCCUUUAUGCUAAUUAAAACUUACAAGUAUUGAUCCAAUUUAUUUGAUUAAAGAAAUUAGUUACCGUAGGGAUAACAGCAUAAUCCCCUUUGAGAGUUCUCAUCGAAAAGGGGGUUUGUGACCUCGAUGUUGGACCAGAAUACCCAGAAGAUGCAGCCGUCUUCAAUGGUUGGUCUGUUCGACCAUUAA